rnacentral:tRNA from 1 species
UCCCUGGUGGUCCAGUGGUUAUGACUCGACACUUUCACUGCCACGGCCUGGGUUUGAUCCCUGGUCAGGGAA